CUGGUGCUUGCACUAGAAAAACUUAGCGGCGAACGGGUGAGUAACACGUAAAGAACCUGCCUCAUAGACGGGGACAACUAUUGGAAACGAUAGCUAAUACCGGAUAACAGCAUAAAUCGCAUGAUAUAUGUUUAAAAGUUGGUUUCGGCUAACACUAUGAGAUGGCUUUGCGGUGCAUUAGCUAGUUGGUGGGGUAAAGGCCUACCAAGGCGACGAUGCAUAGCCGACCUGAGAGGGUGAUCGGCCACACUGGGACUGAGACACGGCCCAGACUCCUACGGGAGGCAGCAGUAGGGAAUCUUCCGCAAUGGGCGAAAGCCUGACGGAGCAACGCCGCGUGAGUGAAGAAGGAUUUCGGUUCGUAAAGCUCUGUUGUUAGGGAAGAAUGAUUGUAUAGUAACUAUAUACAGUAGAGACGGUACCUAACCAGAAAGCCACGGCUAACUACGUGCCAGCAGCCGCGGUAAUACGUAGGUGGCAAGCGUUGUCCGGAAUUAUUGGGCGUAAAGCGCGCGCAGGUGGUUUAAUAAGUCUGAUGUGAAAGCCCACGGCUCAACCGUGGAGGGUCAUUGGAAACUGUUAAACUUGAGUGCAGGAGAGAAGAGUGGAAUUCCUAGUGU
rnacentral:rRNA from 1 species